CCUACGGGAGGCAGCAGUGGGGAAUUUUGGACAAUGGGCGAAAGCCUGAUCCAGCCAUACCGCGUGCGGGAAGAAGGCCUUCGGGUUGUAAACCGCUCUUGUCAGGGAAGAAAUACCUCGGGUUAAUACCCUGGGGUGAUGACGGUACCUGAAGAAUAAGCACCGGCUAACUACGUGCCAGCAGCCGCGGUAAUACGUAGGGUGCAAGCGUUAAUCGGAAUUACUGGGCGUAAAGCGUGCGCAGGCGGUUCUAUAAGACAGAUGUGAAAUCCCCGGGCUCAACCUGGGAACUGCAUUUGUGACUGUAGAGCUAGAGUACGGUAGAGGGGGAUGGAAUUCCGCGUGUAGCAGUGAAAUGCGUAGAUAUGCGGAGGAACACCGAUGGCGAAGGCAAUCCCCUGGACCUGUACUGACGCUCAUGCACGAAAGCGUGGGGAGCAAACAGGAUUAGAUACCCUGGUAGUCCACGCCCUAAACGAUGUCAACUGGUUGUUGGGAGGGUUUCUUCUCAGUAACGAAGCUAACGCGUGAAGUUGACCGCCUGGGGAGUCGGCCGCAAGGUUGAAACUCAAAGGAAUUGACGGCUGAGAGNGCGACGGACGACGACGAGGAGGAGG
rnacentral:rRNA from 1 species